CCUUUGUACACACCGCCCGUCGCUACUACCGAUUGAAUGGCUUAGUGAGGCGUCGGGACUGGCUCAGGGAGGUCGGCAACGACCACCCAGAGCCGGAAACUUCGUCAAACUUGGUCAUUUAGAGG
rnacentral:rRNA from 1 species